AGUGAACGCUGGCGGUAGGCCUAACACAUGCAAGUCGAACGGCAGCACAGUAAGAGCUUGCUCUUACGGGUGGCGAGUGGCGGACGGGUGAGGAAUACAUCGGAAUCUACUUUUUCGUGGGGGAUAACGUAGGGAAACUUACGCUAAUACCGCAUACGACCUACGGGUGAAAGUAGGGGAUCUUCGGACCUUGCGCGAUUGAAUGAGCCGAUGUCGGAUUAGCUAGUUGGCGGGGUAAAGGCCCACCAAGGCGACGAUCCGUAGCUGGUCUGAGAGGAUGAUCAGCCACACUGGAACUGAGACACGGUCCAGACUCCUACGGGAGGCAGCAGUGGGGAAUAUUGGACAAUGGGCGCAAGCCUGAUCCAGCCAUACCGCGUGGGUGAAGAAGGCCUUCGGGUUGUAAAGCCCUUUUGUUGGGAAAGAAAAGCAGCAGGUUAAAACCCCGCUGUUCUGACGGUACCCAAAGAAUAAGCACCGGCUAACUUCGUG
rnacentral:rRNA from 1 species